rnacentral:rRNA from 1 species
AUGCAUGAGUUAACUAAGGAAAACAUUGAGCGUAUGAAUGCUAAAUAUAAACUUGCUGGAGAUAAGGGUAGAAAACAUGUUGUGUUUGCACCUGGAGAUCUUGUUUGGUUACAUUUGCGUAAGGAUAGAUUUCCUGAUUUGCGCAAAUCAAAGCUAAUGCCACGUGCUGAUGGUCCUUUUAAGGUGUUAGAGAAAAUAAAUGAUAAUGCAUAUAAACUUGAGCUGCCUGCAGAUUUUGGGGUUAGUCCCACUUUUAAUAUUGUAGAUUUGAAGCCUUAUUUGGGUGAGGAAGAUGAGCUUCCGUCGAGGACGACUUCAUUUCAAGAAGGGGAGGAUGAUGAGGACAUCAAUACAAUUAUUACACCCACAGGCCCUGCUGCUAUACAUACUGGACCAAUUACUAGAGCUCGCGCACGCCAAUUAAAUUACCAGGAAACAGACCCUCGUGGUCAGGUUGAUCGUGCUCCGGCGUGGUCGAUAACCUCUCGGAGUUGGUUUAGCGAUUGCUAA